UUAAUUCCCUAUUAAAUAGCCAGCAUCAGCUAAGCAAAAGUGGGGUUGUGAUGGUGGUGCAAAUGAGGAUGUGUUCAACCCUCAGUUCCGAAGCUUUUUUACUCUGUUUUGUUCUAUUUAAAAGAGUGCUUUGUAGCCUUGUCUCAAGUUUAACCACCAGGAUCGGAUCCAUUCACAUCUCAGUUGGUCUCCGCUGUUUCUUCAUGGCCUUUCUCAGCUGGAGAUCUGUUGGCUGAUUGGAUUGUCUGACUGACCGACUGACUACAACUUACUUGCAUAUGGCACAACCUACCUGGCACCCUACAAACAAUAACCUCAAGUCAAAACCGUUACAGUAGAGGGAACGAGAGCACCACCCAUGUUGAUGUAGGGAGAGGACAAACAGGUCAUCAGAUGGAUACCGUUCCCCCCGUGGUGUUGGUUGAGGCUGCAUUGUGAGGAGGAUGCAUCAACAACCUGGAAAGAUGUUAGUGGUGCACUCCCUCAACACUUUUUUUUUUGUGAUAAAUGAGUGUAUCGUCUUCAAGCUUGAAAAGGACGCUAUGUAAAUGCAUGUAUUAUUCUGAUAAAUGAAUACAUUCAUUCUUUGUAACAAUUAGAUCUCUCAUUGCUUUAAACUAGUAGCGAGCUCAUCUUAAUCACAUGUUGUUAAUUCUCCCUUUCUUUCCAGAAGCAAUCAGUUACAAUGCACCUGGUCAAGGUCAAGAUUUCUUGCAUGCAUGAACUUGUUAACAAUAAUUAAUUUUGGAAAAGAAUAUGAAUUCCCAUACUAGGCAUAAAUACAUUUUAUGUUGCAUUUCUUCCACCCAAGCCUAGUACACCUAAUUCAGAAAUAAGAGACAACUAGUAUAUUACAUUUAGCAGAUGCUCUUAUCCAGAGCAAUUUACAGUAUCGAGUGCAUACAUUUUCAUACUGGUCCCCCGUGGAAAUCAAACCCACAUCCCUGGCAAUGCAAGAGACAUGCUCUAGCAACUGAGCCACACAGGACAACUAAACUCAGCAAAAAAAGAAACGUCCUCUCACUGUCAACUGCGUUUA